AGACGGAGGGGGCUAGCGUUGUUCGGAAUUACUGGGCGUAAAGCGCGCGUAGGCGGAUUGAUCAGUCAGAGGUGAAAUCCCAGGGCUCAACCCUGGAACUGCCUUUGAUACUGUCAAUCUUGAGUUCGAGAGAGGUGAGUGGAAUUCCGAGUGUAGAGGUGAAAUUCGUAGAUAUUCGGAGGAACACCAGUGGCGAAGGCGGCUCACUGGCUCGAUACUGACGCUGAGGUGCGAAAGCGUGGGGAGCAAACAGGAUUAGAAACCCUAGUAGUCC
rnacentral:rRNA from 1 species